UCCUGUUUGGCGUCUUACCAUGCAGUCGACGAUGAAGCCCAGCUUGCUGGGUGGAUUAGUGGCGAACGGGUGAGUAACACGUGAGUAACCUGCCCUUAACUCUGGGAUAAGCCUGGGAAACUGGGUCUAAUACCGGAUAGGAGCGUCCACCGCAUGGUGGGUGUUGGAAAGAUUUAUCGGUUUUGGAUGGACUCGCGGCCUAUCAGCUUGUUGGUGAGGUAAUGGCUCACCAAGGCGACGACGGGUAGCCGGCCUGAGAGGGUGACCGGCCACACUGGGACUGAGACACGGCCCAGACUCCUACGGGAGGCAGCAGUGGGGAAUAUUGCACAAUGGGCGCAAGCCUGAUGCAGCGACGCCGCGUGAGGGAUGACGGCCUUCGGGUUGUAAACCUCUUUCAGUAGGGAAGAAGCGAAAGUGACGGUACCUGCAGAAGAAGCACCGGCUAACUACGUGCCAGCAGCCGCGGUAAUACGUAGGGUGCGAGCGUUAUCCGGAAUUAUUGGGCGUAAAGAGCUCGUAGGCGGUUUGUCGCGUCUGUCGUGAAAGUCCGGGGCUUAACCCCGGAUCUGCGGUGGGUACGGGCAGACUAGAGUGCAGUAGGGGAGACUGGAAUUCCUGGUGUAGCGGUGGAAUGCGCAGAUAUCAGGAGGAACACCGAUGGCGAAGGCAGGUCUCUGGGCUGUAACUGACGCUGAGGAGCGAAAGCAUGGGGAGCGAACAGGAUUAGAUACCCUGGUAGUCCAUGCCGUAAACGUUGGGCACUAGGUGUGGGGACCAUUCCACGGUUUCCGCGCCGCAGCUAACGCAUUAAGUGCCCCGCCUGGGGAGUACGGCCGCAAGGCUAAAACUCAAAGGAAUUGACGGGGGCCCGCACAAGCGGCGGAGCAUGCGGAUUAAUUCGAUGCAACGCGAAGAACCCUUACCAAGGCUUGACAUGUUCUCGAUCGCCGUAGAGAUACGGUUUCCCCUUUUGGGGGCGGGUUUCACAGGUGGGUGCAUGGGUUGUCGUCAGCUCGUGUCGUGAGAUGUUUGGGGUUAAGUUCCCGCAACGAGCGCAACCCUUCGUUUCCAUGUUGCCUAGCACGUUAUUGUUGGGGACUUCAUUGGUAGACUGCCGGGGUCAACUUCGAAGGAAGUGAAGAACGACGGUCAAUCAUCCAUGCCUCUUAAGUUCUUUGGCUUCACGCGCCAUGACUAACAAAUUGGUCCG
rnacentral:rRNA from 1 species